rnacentral:rRNA from 1 species
GGUUAAGCGACUAAGCGUACACGGUGGAUGCCCUGGCAGUCAGAGGCGAUGAAGGACGUGCUAAUCUGCGAUAAGCGUCGGUAAGGUGAUAUGAACCGUUAUAACCGGCGAUUUCCGAAUGGGGAAACCCAGUGUGUUUCGACACACUAUCAUUAACUGAAUCCAUAGGUUAAUGAGGCGAACCGGGGGAACUGAAACAUCUAAGUACCCCGAGGAAAAGAAAUCAACCGAGAUUCCCCCAGUAGCGGCGAGCGAACGGGGAGCAGCCCAGAGCCUGAAUCAGUAUGUGUGUUAGUGGAAGCGUCUGGAAAGGCGCGCGAUACAGGGUGACAGCCCCGUACACAAAAAUGCACAUAUUGUGAGCUCGAUGAGUAGGGCGGGACACGUGGUAUCCUGUCUGAAUAUGGGGGGACCAUCCUCCAAGGCUAAAUACUCCUGACUGACCGAUAGUGAACCAGUACCGUGAGGGAAAGGCGAAAAGAACCCCGGCGAGGGGAGUGAAAAAAGAACCUGAAACCGUGUACGUACAAGCAGUGGGAGCACGCUUAGGCGUGUGACUGCGUACCUUUUGUAUAAUGGGUCAGCGACUUAUAUUCUGUAGCAAGGUUAACCGAAUAGGGGAGCCGAAGGGAAACCGAGUCUUAACUGGGCGUUAAGUUGCAGGGUAUAGACCCGAAACCCGGUGAUCUAGCCAUGGGCAGGUUGAAGGUUGGGUAACACUAACUGGAGGACCGAACCGACUAAUGUUGAAAAAUUAGCGGAUGACUUGUGGCUGGGGGUGAAAGGCCAAUCAAACCGGGAGAUAGCUGGUUCUCCCCGAAAGCUAUUUAGGUAGCGCCUCGUGAAUUCAUCUCCGGGGGUAGAGCACUGUUUCGGCAAGGGGGUCAUCCCGACUUACCAACCCGAUGCAAACUGCGAAUACCGGAGAAUGUUAUCACGGGAGACACACGGCGGGUGCUAACGUCCGUCGUGAAGAGGGAAACAACCCAGACCGCCAGCUAAGGUCCCAAAGUCAUGGUUAAGUGGGAAACGAUGUGGGAAGGCCCAGACAGCCAGGAUGUUGGCUUAGAAGCAGCCAUCAUUUAAAGAAAGCGUAAUAGCUCACUGGUCGAGUCGGCCUGCGCGGAAGAUGUAACGGGGCUAAACCAUGCACCGAAGCUGCGGCAGCGACGCUGAUGCGUUGUUGGGUAGGGGAGCGUUCUGUAAGCCUGCGAAGGUGUGCUGUGAGGCAUGCUGGAGGUAUCAGAAGUGCGAAUGCUGACAUAAGUAACGAUAAAGCGGGUGAAAAGCCCGCUCGCCGGAAGACCAAGGGUUCCUGUCCAACGUUAAUCGGGGCAGGGUGAGUCGACCCCUAAGGCGAGGCCGAAAGGCGUAGUCGAUGGGAAACAGGUUAAUAUUCCUGUACUUGGUGUUACUGCGAAGGGGGGACGGAGAAGGCUAUGUUGGCCGGGCGACGGUUGUCCCGGUUUAAGCGUGUAGGCUGGUUUUCCAGGCAAAUCCGGAAAAUCAAGGCUGAGGCGUGAUGACGAGGCACUACGGUGCUGAAGCAACAAAUGCCCUGCUUCCAGGAAAAGCCUCUAAGCAUCAGGUAACAUCAAAUCGUACCCCAAACCGACACAGGUGGUCAGGUAGAGAAUACCAAGGCGCUUGAGAGAACUCGGGUGAAGGAACUAGGCAAAAUGGUGCCGUAACUUCGGGAGAAGGCACGCUGAUAUGUAGGUGAAGUCCCUCGCGGAUGGAGCUGAAAUCAGUCGAAGAUACCAGCUGGCUGCAACUGUUUAUUAAAAACACAGCACUGUGCAAACACGAAAGUGGACGUAUACGGUGUGACGCCUGCCCGGUGCCGGAAGGUUAAUUGAUGGGGUUAGCCGCAAGGCGAAGCUCUUGAUCGAAGCCCCGGUAAACGGCGGCCGUAACUAUAACGGUCCUAAGGUAGCGAAAUUCCUUGUCGGGUAAGUUCCGACCUGCACGAAUGGCGUAAUGAUGGCCAGGCUGUCUCCACCCGAGACUCAGUGAAAUUGAACUCGCUGUGAAGAUGCAGUGUACCCGCGGCAAGACGGAAAGACCCCGUGAACCUUUACUAUAGCUUGACACUGAACAUUGAGCCUUGAUGUGUAGGAUAGGUGGGAGGCUUAGAAGUGUGGACGCCAGUCUGCAUGGAGCCGACCUUGAAAUACCACCCUUUAAUGUUUGAUGUUCUAACGUUGACCCGUAAUCCGGGUUGCGGACAGUGUCUGGUGGGUAGUUUGACUGGGGCGGUCUCCUCCUAAAGAGUAACGGAGGAGCACGAAGGUUGGCUAAUCCUGGUCGGACAUCAGGAGGUUAGUGCAAUGGCAUAAGCCAGCUUGACUGCGAGCGUGACGGCGCGAGCAGGUGCGAAAGCAGGUCAUAGUGAUCCGGUGGUUCUGAAUGGAAGGGCCAUCGCUCAACGGAUAAAAGGUACUCCGGGGAUAACAGGCUGAUACCGCCCAAGAGUUCAUAUCGACGGCGGUGUUUGGCACCUCGAUGUCGGCUCAUCACAUCCUGGGGCUGAAGUAGGUCCCAAGGGUAUGGCUGUUCGCCAUUUAAAGUGGUACGCGAGCUGGGUUUAGAACGUCGUGAGACAGUUCGGUCCCUAUCUGCCGUGGGCGCUGGAGAACUGAGGGGGGCUGCUCCUAGUACGAGAGGACCGGAGUGGACGCAUCACUGGUGUUCGGGUUGUCAUGCCAAUGGCACUGCCCGGUAGCUAAAUGCGGAAGAGAUAAGUGCUGAAAGCAUCUAAGCACGAAACUUGCCCCGAGAUGAGUUCUCCCUGACUCCUUGAGAGUCCUGAAGGAACGUUGAAGACGACGACGUUGAUAGGCCGGGUGUGUAAGCGCAGCGAUGCGUUGAGCUAACCGGUACUAAUGAACCGUGAGGCUUAACCUU